rnacentral:rRNA from 1 species
AGGCCUUCGGGUCGUAAAGCUCUGUUGUUAGGGAAGAACAAGUACCAGAGUAACUGCUGGUACCUUGACGGUACCUAACCAGAAAGCCACGGCUAACUACGUGCCAGCAGCCGCGGUAAUACGUAGGUGGCAAGCGUUGUCCGGAAUUAUUGGGCGUAAAGCGCGCGCAGGCGGUUCCUUAAGUCUGAUGUGAAAGCCCACGGCUCAACCGUGGAGGGUCAUUGGAAACUGGGGAACUUGAGUGCAGAAGAGGAAAGCGGAAUUCCACGUGUAGCGGUGAAAUGCGUAGAGAUGUGGAGGAACACCAGUGGCGAAGGCGGCUCUCUGGUCUGUAACUGACGCUGAGGCGCGAAAGCGUGGGGAGCGAACAGGAUUAGAUACCCUGGUAGUCCACGCCGUAAACGAUGAGUGCUAAGUGUUAGAGGGUUUCCGCCCUUUAGUGCUGCAGCUAACGCAUUAAGCACUCCGCCUGGGGAGUACGGUCGCAAGACUGAAACUCAAAGGAAUUGACGGGGGCCCGCACAAGCGGUGGAGCAUGUGGUUUAAUUCGAAGCAACGCGAAGAACCUUACCAGGUCUUGACAUCUCCUGACAACCCUAGAGAUAGGGCGUUCCCCUUCGGGGGACAGGAUGACAGGUGGUGCAUGGUUGUCGUCAGCUCGUGUCGUAAGAUGUUGGGUUAAGUCCCGCAACGAGCGCAACCCUUGAUCUUAGUUGCCAG